UACAGAGGUCCCAAGCGUUGUUCGGAUUCACUGGGCGUAAAGGGUGCGUAGGUGGCAGGGUAAGUUUGAUGUGAAAUCUCCGGGCUUAACCCGGAAACUGCAUUGAAUACUAUCCUGCUCGAGGUUUGGAGGGGGGACUGGAAUUCUCGGUGUAGCAGUGAAAUGCGUAGAUAUCGAGAGGAACACCAGUGGCGAAGGCGAGUCCCUGGACAACACCUGACACUGAGGCACGAAAGCGUGGGGAUCAAACAGG
rnacentral:rRNA from 1 species